CUUUCCCCCGCCCUUCCUCGACUGGACGCCCCUGUUGGGUGAAUUGAAUCUCAUCGAGGAGCUCAGGCUGUCGUCGUCCUUGUCGAGCACGGGAGCGAGCUAGCCGUGUCACCGGAGUUUGUUGGAGCAGCCAUCGUUUUUGUCGUCACCGCGUCGCCUACAGAGGACGAACCCGUCACCGUUUUCACCACCCUCACCACCAUCGUGCCACGCUGCAGCCGCCCACUCACUCACCUUCGCCGAAGGAUCGCUGGAGAGCCGCCGUCACCGACGCCUGACCCGCCACCGCCGUCCUCUAUUUUCGAUUGUCCGGAGUGCGAUGCGAGCUAUUGUCAGGAGUGUGACUUUCUGAACCAGAACCAAG